GCUGGCAAGUGUUGAUCAGAUAUCCUACACUCUCAAUGGAAAAUUCCAUGUGUGGACUAAUAAUCUCCGCUUAUUAUCUGAUGCCUGG
rnacentral:snoRNA from 1 species